rnacentral:tRNA from 1 species
AAGAUGUUAGUAAAAUAUUAUAUUGCCUUGUCAAGGCAGAGUUGUGAGUUAAACCCUUGCACAUCUUA